rnacentral:rRNA from 1 species
GACGAACGCUGGCGGCGUGCUUAACACAUGCAAGUCGAACGGAAAGGCCCUGCUUUUGUGGGGUGCUCGAGUGGCGAACGGGUGAGUAACACGUGAGUAACCUGCCCUUGACUUUGGGAUAACUUCAGGAAACUGGGGCUAAUACCGGAUAGGAGCUCCUGCUGCAUGGUGGGGGUUGGAAAGUUUCGGCGGUUGGGGAUGGACUCGCGGCUUAUCAGCUUGUUGGUGGGGUAGUGGCUUACCAAGGGUUUGACGGGUAGCCGGCCUGAGAGGGUGAACGGCCACAUUGGGACUGAGAUACGGCCCAGACUCCUACGGGAGGCAGCAGUCGGGAAUAUUGCACAAUGGGCGGGAGCCUGAGGCAGCAACGCCGCGUGCGGGAUGACGGCCUUCGGGUUAUAAACCGCUUUCGCCUGUGACGAAGCGUGAGUGACGGUAAUGGGUAAAGAAGCACCGGCUAACUACGUG